CAGGCCUCCAGCCGACUGGACGAGGCCUCCUUCCCAGAGGACACCGAGUCGGAGAUCACGCACUGGUUCCGGAAGGAUUACGAUAGCACUUUUGACGAUGAGGAUCUCAAGGCUGGAGGGCCGUCUGGAGAUGAGUAUAGCAGUGGAGAAAUGGGCAGCGGGUCCAUCGACAGCUCCAGCCAGUCUCCUUUCUCUACAGUCUACUUCCGGGCACUGGUGAACUUCACCCAUUCCAUCGAGUACAGCCCGCGCUUGGAAGAUGUCAACUCGGAGGCCUUCCAGGAGGUGUCCGAAGCGGUCGUGGAUACGCUGGAAUCCGAAUACCUCAAGAUCCCCGGGGAGCAGUCGGUCAGCGUGGUUUUUAUCAAG